rnacentral:lncRNA from 1 species
CAAAAAUUCAAGCCCCGAGGCUCUGAACAAUCAAGAAGAAGGAGAAAAUUAAAUUUUUCUUACCUUGGAGAAUAAAAAAAGCAACAGAACACAAUUCUUUGCACGGGCAAGUGAAGAAGAUUGCUAGGGGAGGGGAAACAAAUAUCCUUUGGCUUUCUUUCUUUCUUAUGGGGUUUUAAUUGCACUCCAAAUUUAUUUAACCCCUACUUGACGCAAACUUAAAUAAGUUUUGUUGGCAAUUACAUUCCUUUUCUUAGAAGAAUUUAAAUUCCAAAUCAAAGAGGGAAUCUACAUCAAAUUGGGACAUAAACUCCAUUGAAGCUUUGGAUUCCUAUACCUCAUG